AUGGAUGGGCAGACGGACAGACAG
rnacentral:miRNA from 1 species